rnacentral:rRNA from 2 species
UUUAUGGAGAGUUUGAUCCUGGCUCAGGACGAACGCUGGCGGCGUGCUUAACACAUGCAAGUCGAACGGUGAUGUCAGAGCUUGCUCUGGCGGAUCAGUGGCGAACGGGUGAGUAACACGUGAGUAACCUGCCCCCGACUCUGGGAUAACUGCUAGAAAUGGUAGCUAAUACCGGAUAUGACGAUUGGCCGCAUGGUCUGGUCGUGGAAAGAAUUUCGGUUGGGGAUGGACUCGCGGCCUAUCAGGUUGUUGGUGAGGUAAUGGCUCACCAAGCCUACGACGGGUAGCCGGCCUGAGAGGGUGACCGGCCACACUGGGACUGAGACACGGCCCAGACUCCUACGGGAGGCAGCAGUGGGGAAUAUUGCACAAUGGGCGAAAGCCUGAUGCAGCAACGCCGCGUGAGGGAUGACGGCCUUCGGGUUGUAAACCUCUUUUAGUAGGGAAGAAGCGAAAGUGACGGUACCUGCAGAAAAAGCACCGGCUAACUACGUGCCAGCAGCCGCGGUAAUACGUAGGGUGCAAGCGUUGUCCGGAAUUAUUGGGCGUAAAGAGCUCGUAGGCGGUUUGUCGCGUCUGCUGUGAAAUCCCGAGGCUCAACCUCGGGUCUGCAGUGGGUACGGGCAGACUAGAGUGCGGUAGGGGAGAUUGGAAUUCCUGGUGUAGCGGUGGAAUGCGCAGAUAUCAGGAGGAACACCGAUGGCGAAGGCAGAUCUCUGGGCCGUAACUGACGCUGAGGAGCGAAAGCAUGGGGAGCGAACAGGAUUAGAUACCCUGGUAGUCCAUGCCGUAAACGUUGGGAACUAGAUGUGGGGACCAUUCCACGGUCUCCGUGUCGCAGCUAACGCAUUAAGUUCCCCGCCUGGGGAGUACGGCCGCAAGGCUAAAACUCAAAGGAAUUGACGGGGGCCCGCACAAGCGGCGGAGCAUGCGGAUUAAUUCGAUGCAACGCGAAGAACCUUACCAAGGCUUGACAUAUACCGGAAACAUGCAGAAAUGUGUGCCCCGCAAGGUCGGUAUACAGGUGGUGCAUGGUUGUCGUCAGCUCGUGUCGUGAGAUGUUGGGUUAAGUCCCGCAACGAGCGCAACCCUCGUUCUAUGUUGCCAGCACGUAAUGGUGGGAACUCAUAGGAGACUGCCGGGGUCAACUCGGAGGAAGGUGGGGAUGACGUCAAAUCAUCAUGCCCCUUAUGUCUUGGGCUUCACGCAUGCUACAAUGGCCGGUACAAAGGGCUGCGAUACCGUAAGGUGGAGCGAAUCCCAAAAAGCCGGUCUCAGUUCGGAUUGAGGUCUGCAACUCGACCUCAUGAAGUCGGAGUCGCUAGUAAUCGCAGAUCAGCAACGCUGCGGUGAAUACGUUCCCGGGCCUUGUACACACCGCCCGUCAAGUCAUGAAAGUCGGUAACACCCGAAGCCAGUGGCCUAACCGCAAGGGAGGAGCUGUCGAAGGUGGGAUCGGUGAUUAGGACUAAGUCGUAACAAGGUAGCCGUACCGGAAGGUGCGGCUGGAUCACCUCCUUUCUAAGGA